AGAGUUUGAUCCUGGCUCAGGACGAACGCUGGCGGCGUGGAUUAGGCAUGCAAGUCGGACGGUAGGGCUUUAUCGUAAGAUAGAGUUUGAGAGUGGCGAACGGGUGAGUAACACGUAGGAAUCUACCCUUAAGACGGGGACAACCCAGGGAAACUUGGGCUAAUACCGGAUGAGAGUGCGAGAGAUUGCAUUUAAAAGGAUGGCGAAAGUUGUCGCUUAGGGAUGAGCCUGCGGUCUAUUAGUUAGUUGGUGAGGUAAGAGCUCACCAAGGCGAUGAUAGAUAGGCGGCCUUAACGGGUGGUCGCCCACACUGGGAUUGAGAUACGGCCCAGACUCCUACGGGAGGCAGCAGUCGAGAAUAGUCUACAAUGGCCGGAAGGCUGAUAGUGCGACGCCGCGUGAACGAGGGAGCCCUUCGGGGUGUAAAGUUCUUUUCUAUACGAGCAGUGCUAUAUAUAUGGAUAGUAUAUAUAGAGGGAUAGUAGUAUAGGAAUAAGCAACGGCUAACUCCGUGCCAGCAGCCGCGGUAACACGGGGGUUGCGAGCGUUGUCCGGAAUUACUAGGCGUAAAGGGCAGGUAGGCGGAUCUACGAGUUUUUUGUUAAAGGCUACGGCUCAACUGUAGUAGAGCAGGAGAUACUGUAGGUCUGGAAUGCGGUAGGGGAAGACAGAAUUCCUGGUGUAGCGGUGGAAUGCGCAGAGAUCAGGAGGAAUACCGAAGGCGAAGGCAGUCUUCUAGGCCGUAAUUGACGCUUAACUGCGAAGGUGUGGGGAUCAAACAGGAUUAGAUACCCUGGGUAGUCCACACAGUAAACGAUAAUCACUAGAUGUCGGGUUCUAGAUGGAUUCGGUGUCGGAGCCAACGCGAUAAGUGAUUCGCCUGGGGAGUACGAUCGCAAGGUUGAAACUCAAAUGAAUUGACGG
rnacentral:rRNA from 1 species